rnacentral:pre_miRNA from 1 species
UCCUUGGUAGAACCUCGGCAGUUAACUGCAGCCGGUUCCUUCAAAAUUCGGCAGUUAACUGCCGAAGGAUAU